ensembl:lncRNA
UGCUGCUAGAGUGGCUAGCAAGUGUUAGCUAGCACAUGCUGUUUGCCUAUGUUACAGUAAACACCGAGGUUGCUAGUACAUGUAGAAAUUUCAUUGGUACAGAAGUUUCAUUGGUUCCAGAAAACCAGGAAAAUGUGGAGCCAUCUGUAGACUUCAGAGCUGGUAUGUAAAAUGUAUUGCUGUGAUGCUUUAUUUGUGAUCCUGCCACUAAACUAUACCCUUUGUUAGAUUUUCAAAUUUCUGUUUCCUCUUUCUCAGAACCAGGUUUCUCCCCAGGACACACUCCACUUCACAGAGCCAAGCGUUUGAGUACGAUUCGUCAAGUACUAAACUUAACACCCCCAGCAGAAAAUGUACCCUGGCAGCAAAUGGGUGAAAAGGCUGGAGGAGAAAGUCAUCGCUCUGUUAUUGGCCCUUGGACUCCCCUGGCAUGUACAGCAUGAAGUUUUCAGCAAUGAAGGUAUAUUCUAGGCCUAUGUCCCAGAACGAGAACCAAGCCGUGAGGGAGGAGAACCAAGCCGUGAGGGAGGAGAACCAAGCCCUGAGGGGAAGCCAUGCACGAGCAGCUUCGGGUGACAGCGGCUCACUUCAAGAGCAGGUGAAGCAAUUUGGGACAAUGCUGAAGACGUUUGCUCGCACUGGGCAAUCAGGUGCAGAUCAGACCCUAGUGCUGCGACGUCUUGGAGAGUUUGGCGAUGUUGUGCGUAGCAUGGAAAACUAUGCUGCAACAUUUCAGUGCCAAUGUGUCUGUUGGAGAGCUAUCCCUGCCAGGGGAUCUGUUACUCCCCCUAGACACCCAGGUAGAUUUGGUGUUUCUUGACAGCAUUUUGAGGCAGGAUAAAGAGCUCCAGGAACGAUUUCUUCGGUUUUUGGCUAUCAAAUGUGGGAGGGACCUGAAGACAACAGUGUGGAGAAUGCUUCAGAGUAUAUUCUCUAAUAACCUUGCCGUUAAUACAACCUGGACUGGUAUAGGGGAUAAAACAUGUUUUAGAGACCUGUUCCUGAAGACCAUUGUUCAAAG